ensembl:lncRNA
AUUCCUUGGGCUUUGCCUGCGUGCAUUGAGCAACUUCUGCUGCAAGUUGCUGAGACUGGCGCGGUGGAGAUCCGCCACAGCAAGACUUUUUUUAUUGUUAUUUAGUCUAUAUCUGCCUCUCAACUUUUUUCUCAUUCUUAGUUCAACAAGCCGGCAACCACUACUUAAGGUUCCCAGUAGCUGCAGCAGUGAAAGACAGUGAUUGGCUCCAGUGCUCCUAGAAGGAUUUGGGCUGAAGCCAGGGGAACAGAACCAGAAGAGGAUUCCCUUUCCAGAGACCAUCAGGCUCCUCAUGUCUUGUCUCUCCUCUCUCCCCUCGUGGUGGCUCAGGAUUUCAGUAUGGCUGAGCAGCCCAUAGAGGCAGCUGACAUGGUCAACAAAUUUAUCAAAGAAACCCCCUGGCUUUUGAAGAAUAGUACUUUAUACAUCUGGAUCUGCACAUCAGGCAAAGUAAGUAAAUUAUUGCAUAACUUUAAGCAUAAUUGAUAACAGACACCUUUAAUUUUUCAUCCCCAUUCUUUUGGCCAG